GGGCCGGAGCCUCCCGGGAAGCGAACCCGAGGAGGGGAGCGCGGCGAGGCGUCCAGCCCGCCGCCCCCACACGCGUUUCUGCACAGGCUGUCACUCCGGAAAGCAGAGAUGCCGGGGAGUGGGUUUUUCCGGAGCCACUCGGUUGUGUGGCAGCUCUUCUGGCAUCACCUGCCUUCCUGUGACAUGGGCGUGAGGCCCGUGCCCCCUUCCCGCCCGUGAGCCGUUGGAGGCUGAGACCCGCCACGCCGGACACCCUCAUGCGCGUGGGGGACUGGCAGGCUCCUGGCAGUGCCCGAGGAUCACGGAGGCCCGAUGGCAGAGAAGGGCACCGUGAGUGUCCGCAGGUGCCUGUCCCGGCCCCGUGUUCUCAGUGGGGACCGUGGGCACCAGCCAGGCACACUGGGCGCCGAUCUUUAGCCACCCUGCGUGUGUCGGCCAGCGGUCUGCACGGCAGCCGGGAUGUGUGCGCCUCCCUGAGCCCCACCGUGGGGCCGUGGUAGCUGCAGUGUCUGGGGGUUCGAUGAGGGCUGAGCUAGGCGCUGACCGACCCGCUCUUAAAGAAGGGUGUGCCAUUGCCUGGAAUGUGGUUUGAGGACGGCAAGAGAAGAGCAGAGAGUGGAGGCGAGGUUGAAGGUCAAGACAUCUAAGUAUGCGAUGAAGGUGUAGGUGUUCUGAGAUGCCCCAGAGAGUUGGCGGAAGGCUUACCUGAAACCAGCGAGAUUUCUAAGUGCCGUGUUGUGCCUCUCUGGUAAACUGCAUGUGGCUGCCUCAUGUGAUUUCCCCGUCUCUGGGUGUGUUCUUACCUGUGCUUCACCCCCCUGCCUCCCAUAGCAGGCUCUGCUGGGCAAACGUGAUUCCGGCUGGGUCUUCCAUCAGCCCUCCACCACCAGCAGGGCGGAUUUUCUAUUCCUGGAUGUGCUUUUGAAGGCUCAUCCAGUGCAUGUCUGUCUUUGUCUUCCCAGCUCUAUUUGUAAAGGUCUUAAGAGCAAGAACAGUGACUUCAGCUUCAAACCUUCAAGAUAGUGGCCUGCUUGGCCUGCCCAUCUCGGGUCUCUCCAGGAGGACCCAGCCACUCAAGGGUCGUCUUCUGCCGCUGACCCCCAUCAAAUCCCAUCAUGCCCACAGCCCUGUGCCCCCGAGUCUUGGCUCCAAAGGAAAGUGAGGAGCCCAGGAAAAUGAGGAGCCCACCGGGAGAGAACCCUAGCCCCCAGGGGGAGCUUCCCAGCCCCGAAUCCUCUCGGCGCCUCUUCCGCCGUUUCCGCUACCAGGAGGCGGCGGGCCCCCGGGAGGCCCUGCAACGCCUCUGGGACCUGUGCCGCGGCUGGCUGCGGCCAGAGAGGCACACCAAGGAGCAGAUUCUGGAGCUGCUGGUGCUGGAGCAGUUCCUGGCCAUCCUGCCCCGGGAGAUCCAGAGCUGGGUGCGGGCCCAGGAGCCUGAGAGCGGGGAGCAGGCUGUGGCCGCAGUGGAGGCACUGGAACGGGAGCCGGGGAGACCCUGGCAGUGGCUCAAGCACUGCGAAGACCCUGUGGUGAUUGAUGAUGGAGACAGCCCUCUGGACCAGGAGCAGGAACAGCUGCCGAUAGAGCCCCACAGCGACCUUGCAAAGAGCCAGGAUGCCCAGCCCAUGGCCCUGGCACAGUGCCUGGGGCUCCCAGGCAGACCACCAACCCAACUCAGCGGGGACGCAGUUCUGCAAGAUGCUUUCCUUCUUCAGGAAGAGAAUGUACGGGACACCCAGCAGGUGGUGACCACCCUGCAGCUACCCCCGAACCGAGUUUCUCCAUUCAAGGACAUGAUUUUAUGCUUCUCUGAAGAGGAUUGGUCCCUUCUAGAUCCUGCCCAGACUGGCUUCUACGGAGAGUUCAUCAUUGGGGAGGAUUGCGGGGUCUCAAUGCCUCCAAAUGAGCUAGCUGCCCAGCCAGAUCUCUCCCAGGGAGAGGAGCAUGAGCCACGCGUUCCAGAGUUGCAGGAUCUCCAGGGGAAAGAAGUGCCCCAGGUCUCCUACUUGGACUCUCCAAGUCUCCAGCCAUUCCAGGUAGAAGAAAGAAGAAAACGUGAUGAGCUGCAGGUGCCAGAGUUCCAGGCCUGCCCGCAGAUGGCAGUACCUCAAAGCACCUGUCCAGCACGGAUGGCCAGCAUCCUGGCACAGAAUCUUGGAAUUGGGAUUAAAGAGCUGGUUUCUGGUGUGCUGAAGCUUCACGGGACUCCUGGAAAGUCUGGCGGCAACCCGCGAUCUCUAGAGAACAGCCUGGACCAAGAAGUGACCAUCGAGAUCGUUCUCUCUAGCUCUGGGGACGAAGACUCCCAGCACGGCCCGUACUGCACAGAAGAGCGGAGGAGCCGCACAGAAGAGCCGAGGAGCCCCACAGAGAAGCAGCACAGCCUCCCCACCUCCCACCGGAGCAGCGCUGAGGCCGGGGGCGAGGUGCAGAGCUCCAAGAAGUCCUACGUGUGUCCAAACUGUGGGAAAAUCUUUCGCUGGAGGGUCAACUUCAUCCGGCACCUGAGGAGCCGCAGGGAGCAGGAGAAACCGCACGAGUGCUCGGUGUGCGGGGAGCUGUUCAGUGACAGCGAGGACCUGGACGGGCACCUGGAGAGCCACGAGGCCCAGAAGCCUUACCGGUGUGGUGCCUGCGGGAAGAGCUUCCGCCUCAACUCCCACCUGCUCUCCCACCGGCGGAUACACCUGCAGCCGGACAGACUCCAGCCGGUGAAGAAGAGAGAGCAGGAGGCGUCCGAGGACGUGGGCGAGGGUCCCAACGACCCGCUGGAAAAUGGCAAGGCCAAGCUGAGCUUCCAGUGCUGUGACUGUGGGAAGGCCUUCCAGCGGCACGACCACCUGGCUCGGCACCGCAGCCACUUCCACCUGAAGGACAAAGCCCGACCCUUUCAGUGUCGGUACUGCGUCAAGAGCUUCACGCAGAACUAUGACCUCCUGCGCCACGAGCGCCUGCACAUGAAGCGCCGUUCCAAGCAGGCUCUGAACUCCUAUUGAGCCUGCCCGCCUGGUGCGGCCUCACCCUGGGCGGUGCUGCACACUCACAUUGGUACUGAUCAGCACCCCCACCCAGGACGCACCUUCCCCAGCAUAGAGAGCACACUUCCCUCUUCCUGUCCUUUGCUCUCAGGUAGUGUCCAGCGUUCAGGUGGUGCCAUGGUAGCACUCUCCCUCCCCCAGGUAAUGAGAGAGUGGGAAAGUGAGUGUUCUCUUUCUGCUGUGCCAAAAAAUGGGGAUGUGCCACCACCAGGUUGGACAUGCCAGGUGUUCUGUGUCUUAGAGACCCUUGCCCCAUGCUCCCUAAGCUCGGGGAGUCAAACUGGGCUCCCCCAUCGGGGCCGCGCCCUGGUCACCAACCAAACCUCAGUAUCCUCCCUCCCUCCCUUCCCUGUCUGAAUGCUGGGAUCUGCUGCUGAAGCUCCAGGGUGCCUGCACUUCCACUCAGAAGCUGCUGGAGGGUGUUGGACUGGAGGAAGCAAGAAGGCAGUGUGGGAAUGAUGGGCUUAGUGGGGAGCAGGGCCAGGCAUAGAGAGUACACCUCCCUCCUGUCUGAGCCAGACAUGUCAUGUCUGAGCCCCAGGUUUGUGGCCAUCAGGUGGGCAGGAGCACCCCGCAGAUCCAAGAUGAUCAGACAGCCCUUUCGGGCUUGGAGUCUGAGGCAGGGGUCUGCAGAGCUCCUUCUUGAGUUCACAGUCAUCAUACCUUUUAAUUUGUCCCGGGGGCCAGUUACUAGUGAUCUGGAGCAUACCAAAAACAAAGCUUACGUUUUAAUUUGUGUUACACACGUACCCCAAGAUGUCUUUGUACCCUAAAGAUGCUUGGCAAAUGCCUGUGGGUUGGAAGCUGAGACAUCAUCAUUUAAAAGGCACUUAAGUCCUUUCUUCCAGUCUGUACUGCCUAAGAAUGUGGAGCUCAGCCCCCGGUGAGGGGUUCUGUCUGGGUGAGCCAAGCUCCAGAACAGAACCUUCCCUGGCAUCACACUUUACGUAUACAUCAGCUUGGACUGCUGGUGUCAGUUUUCUAGGUAUGUUUUAACACUGGCUGGUUUAGAACAGGAAUGGAUCCCCUCACAGUUCCGGGAGCUGCAAGUCCAAGAUGACGCUGUCCUCGGAGCUGGCGCCUUCCAAGGGCUGUGAGGGAGAGGUGGCUUCGUGCUUUUGCUGGCAGUUGCCAUUCCUUGGCGUGUGGAAGUGUCACAGUCUGCCUUCAUCUCCACAUGGCACUCUUGCUGUGUGCGACACCGGUCAUAUCGGAUUAGAACCCAUCCCACCAACUCCAGUAUAACCUCAUCUAUGGCCGCAGCAACUGUUCACCAGUAAGGUCACAUUCUGAGGUACUAGAGAUUGGGACUUCAACAUUGGAAUUUGAAAGGGACAGAAUUCAGCCCACGACUCCAGGUAAAACGUGAGCUCUUGCCUCAGAAGAAGAAACAAAUAAAAGACGAGGCCACUGGUGGGAGGUCCCUAUCAGUCCUAAAUCAUACUGUGGCACAAAGGAAAGAGAAGGCAGAGAUCUUGUCCAAGUGACUCUUCUGUGAGAUGGUUUCCCUUCCUCUGCCAAAAGCAGAGUUUGGACCAGACACAAGUACUUCUGCUAGCAGAGUUAUGUGGGCGGUUCAGUGAUGAUUAUAGCACUUCAGAAAUUUCCUCAAACAAGCUCAUUUUUUUUUCCUAAGAGUCGGGGGUCAACUAUUUUGUGCAGGCUGGUCCUAAACUUCUGAGUUCCUCCCACCACGGCCUCCCAAAGUGCUGGGACUAUAACUGUGAGCCACCACACCCAGCCUCCAGAAACAGUAUUAACAACAAACACUGAUACUGUUUGGUCUUAAAAGUGACGGUCAGUGCCCACUACUAUUUCAUGCAACAAGGCUAGAGGUUGGAAAACUUGCUUAGGGCAUACUGGCCACAGGAAAAGGACUGUUGAGAGCACCACUGGAAGACCAGGUACUUCCAGCAGCCCAGACCCAUAUAGAGGGCAGCCAGCAGAAUUUCAGUAGCCCAGCAUCUAGGGGAGGGUCGGGAGGGAUCAGGAGCUCAUCAAGGGCAAAGCCUAUGGGGCCCAUUUAUACCUGUUUUGCCCGUCAAAUACCAUUUGGGAACUUUAUCUUCUCUUGAAACCAUAGCCUAUAACCAGGUCACCCUGAUUAAUGUACAUAUAAUCACCAAAGUACAGAGAAGCCAUAGAAAUUCCCUGUGAGCAUAUGCAAAAUUCUUAAGAACGUAUGGGAAAGCAGAUUCCUCAGGAAUACAUGCAAGUGGGAUUACCUCACACAUCUUGGCCACAGCCAAGAAUAUCACAGGCAGGCUGAUAACCAUGACAAAGGGCUGUCUUCUAAUCAUACAACCAACUGGCAGGAGAACCACCCUUUCCCCAUCACCUGCUUUAAAAAAAUGCCUUGCUGUUUGCAUCUAUCCUGGCCCAUUUUACUGGUUUUGCUACACCUUGUCAAAACAUAGUGAGGUUGGAUACCUGCUGUUUUGUACUUUUUUUAUGUGAUCAGUCAAGUGUAGCCACAAGAGAAGACAAAGGAGAGUCUUAGGAAAAGACAAAGUUUAUUCUGCUUACAGGUCCUAGAGACAGGAGGCCCAGCAGGCCAUAUAGGGCCACACAGGAAAGACACCAGGUGGCAGGAGGCAGAAGACACAAGCAAGGAGGAGGUUUGGGCCACUGUCUUUUUGGGGUUUCCUUGGACAGAGUCAAGGCAGGGCAAAGUGAAUAGUUUAGGAUUGAUUAGUAUGGAAAAUUUCUGUGGGCUUUGGGUUACAGAGAUGGUUCCUAAUUGCCUGGCACCGGCCUCUGGGAUGCUUAAGGCAGAGAGGAACAUUGCCUCCCAGGGUGUCAGGUCAGAUGCUGGAGGUUUGGGUCUGGAUGGGCUAGUUUGCAUAUCAAAGGCAUGCUCCUUGCUGGGCAAGGAUUCACUGGCACAGAAACCUCAGAUAAGGUAAGGAGGCCUGAGGACUAAACUCUGACCGGUGUUGUCUUAAAUUUCCUCCUCACGGGCCUGGAGGAAGUCAUUCCCAAGGGCCAGAUCUGACAUUCUCUUCUGCUGGUCACGAAUUUUAAACCAAGCUGCUCUUCUGUAACCUAUUACAAAUCAGAAAAUCUGUGAAUUCCACCUAUUACCUGUAAGCCUCCACUUCAAAGUAUUGUGCCCUUUUGAGGCUAAACCAAGAUAUCAUUUCAAUGUAUUGAUUCACGAAUUUGCCUGUAAUUUCUGCUUGCCUAAAAUUUACCCCUGCCUUUAUGUUUCUCCUUUUUUUUCUUUUCUUUUUUAAAUGACUAGUCAAAUGCAGUAGUGAGAAGCGGGGGAUGAGUAGAACAAGGCAUUUGAUGUGUAACUGACUGAGCAGUCCAGGUAACUCAUUACCUUUGCACCAGCCACCUCGCCUUUAAAAACCCUUACUUGCAAGGCACUGUGGAAGACAGAUACUCAGUGUGAGCUGCCUGAUUCUCCUUGCUUGGCAUCCUGCAAAUAAACACCUUCCUUUCUCCUGACAUAAA